rnacentral:rRNA from 1 species
UACGUAGGCAGCAAGCGUUGUUCGGAGUUACUGGGCGUAAAGGGUGUUUAGGCGGUCUUCUAAGUUUGGUGUGAAAUCUCCCGGCUCAACUGGGAGGGUGCGCCGAAAACUGGAAGGCUAGAGUACUGGAUGGGAGAGUGGAAUUCCUGGUGUAGCGGUGAAAUGCGUAGAUAUCAGGAGGAACACCUGUGGUGUAGACGGCUCUCUGGACAGUAACUGACGCUGAGACACGAAAGCGUGGGUAGCAAACAGG